GGCCUCUGUUGCAGCCUGCUCUCUGCCCCGUCCUGCAUCCCUCACUCUCUCACAGGUCUUCUCCCCUGCGUGCAAAUCUCCACUUCGGAGUCUGUCUCCUGGAGAACCCGACUGAAGGCCGUUGGUACUGAGAAUGGUGCCAGGGAGAAAAUUGGAUGGAGGUGAGGAUCCACCCCCGGAGAGCGCCAAGGACGUGGGAAAGCCUCAGCAAGGGCACACAGCAGUCCGAGCCCUCCGCAGAGGCCCCGAGGAGGGGCGGGCGUCAGUCUGCGGGACCUCAUCACAAGAUCUGAGUGGUGGUCAGCUUCUGCAGCAGGGAGGGCAGUCAGGAAAUCUGCCUGCUUGGGGUGAGAGAGCAAAAGCUGUCCCGGGCAGACCUUUCCUAUCUCUCCAUCUUUCUGAAAGGGAGCGUUGGCCGCACUGUUGCUGUUUAAUUA
rnacentral:lncRNA from 1 species